AAAGCGAUCACACGAUCGAGAGAGAGGAAGAUCCAAUAAAACAUGUAGUAGAUGAGUUACGGUGUGACAGGGGUCGGCAGAGAAAACAGGACACCAGAGGCAGAGGAGGAGAAGUAGCAGAGGUUAAACUCUCGGGGGAAGAGGACAGGUUGCAUUAUCUGCCUCCUUCACCCUCUCCUUCACCCUCAGACUCUUUCUCCCCCUCUCUUGCUGAGAUGAGCCGGAUUUAUAACCUGAAAACAGUGGGGUCCAGGACGGCGGUGUGCAUGAGUGAGAGGACCGUGGAUAGGCCUAUCCCUAUACAUACACCCAACGUACAGUCCCGCAUAUCAGCAGAACAACAGGAGCCAAGCAGUCUGGAGAGAUCCGUUGGGAUGCUGACACAGAAGCAGCUGUGGGGUGGUGGUGGGGCAUCUGGAAAUAAGGCCUCUUGUGAUGAGAAUUCCGGACUUCAGAAAAUACAGCGUCAGGUGGAACAGCUUCAGUUGCGAGAACAACAGGAAGUACAGAGACUAUCACACGACGACAACGCAGCACAGUCGACUUUUAGUAAAAAAACUAAUUUGAAAGCUAAAGCGUCUGAAGCUCAGCAAAGCACAAGGAUAUCACACAACCAGCCCAAUAAGGAACCUCAACAGAUGCAUCCGAGGCAAAAGGACCAGCAAACACCUCUAAAUCCCAGAAAAUGUCAGUCUAAUCCGCAGUUGCACUCUGAAAGGCCUCCUCAAUCCAAUCGUGCCCGAUCCAUUACCAUCAACUCCAGAUCUCUCCUGACCCCCUCUCCUGAGAACUCAUUACACCCAGACCAGGGAGUCCCACCCAGCACAUCAUCCUCCCCAUGUUCACCCUCCCCACCCCAGUCCCCCUCCGUCUCUCCCUCUCCUUCGCCUUCUCCGAUCCAUUUCACCAUCAGAACAGGCUCUGGAGGCCAGCAGGCCAAGAGGGGCACCACCAUCACCAUCACCCCAAGGAAGCCUGUUGGAGGGGCAGCCGUGGAAUCGGUUUCAGUAUCCUCAGGACCCUCAGUCAAGACGUCUACCAAGUCCCAGAUGCCUGUCCUAACCGAGAUAGUAGAGAGAGGCAAGAAGAGAUACCCCACUACGGAGGAGAUCGAAGUGAUCGGCGGAUAUCAGAACCUGGAUAAGUCUUGCCUGGUCAAGACUCCCAAAGGGACUCCCAAAGGGUUUCCCGUGUGUAUCAAGAAUGGUCCAUCACCCAAAGGAAGUCCAGCCAACUUGACAGAACUGUGGGAAGCAUUGGAUUCAACUUGGGCCAGCAUCCCUGUGGAACGCUUUCGACACCUUGUAG
ensembl:lncRNA